rnacentral:sRNA from 1 species
CAGGAAAAUACAUCGACGAAUAAAACCAACCACACAUCAUAUCUUCACAUGUUGCCGAGCAUGAUGAUGAUGACUUCGACAAGUCUCCCAGCCUGGUCGCCCAGCUAAUCAGCAGCUUCCGGUGAGUCGUUCGUCACAGGAUGUUACACGUUGGUUACCAAACUAUAUACCGGACGUAACCAGGCUUCGAACCGUAAUUUCCGUACCUGAUUCCACCCAACCUUCCGCCCCUUGGCGAGGGCUUGGCAGUUCAGCGCGAAACCGACAAGCUUUCCUCGGCGAGGACUGGGCAGCUCUGUGAUUGGCUGGGACAAAAGGCGGUGAGCCGGGGGAAUGUACAGUAUGGAUAGGAGAGAACCGCAGAGGUGGACGUUCCUACAUAGUAGACACCACGGACUUUUUUUCUUAUUCUUGUAGUUUUUUGCCGCUUUUUAUUUUGCCUUGGUUGUAAAGAUGUUUCAUACAACAGGGA